rnacentral:rRNA from 1 species
CGGGGUGAGUAAUGCUUGGGAAUCUGGCUUAUGGAGGGGGAUAACGACGGGAAACGUGUCGCUAAUACCGCGUAUUAUCGGAAGAUGAAAGUGCGGGACUGAGAGGCCGCAUGCCAUAGGAUGAGUCCAAGUGGGAUUAGGUAGUUGGUGGGGUAAAGGCCUACCAAGCCUGCGAUCUCUAGCUGGUCUGAGAGGAUGACCAGCCACACUGGAACUGGGACACGGUCCAG